rnacentral:rRNA from 1 species
GACAGAGGCCUCGAGCGUUAGGCGGAAUCACUGGGCUUAAAGCGUGUGUAGGCGGACCUCUAAGUACCUUGUGAAAUCCCACGGCUCACCCGUGGAACCGCUGGGUAUACUGGGGGUCUUGGGCCACUCAGGGGCGACUGGAACAAGCGGUGGAGCGGUGAAAUGCGUAGAUAUCGCUUGGAACGCCAAAGGUGAAAACAGGUCGCUGGGAGUGCGCCGACGCUGAGGCGGCGAAAGCGGUGGGGAGCGAACCGG